CCUACGGGUGGCUGCAGUAGGGAAUAUUGGGCAAUGGGCGCAAGCCUGACCCAGCCACGCCGCGUGCAGGAAGAAGGCCCUCUGGGUUGUAAACUGCUUUUGACUGGGAAGAAAAGAUUCCUUGCGAGGAAAGUUGACGGUACCAGCAGAAUAAGCCACGGCUAACUACGUGCCAGCAGCCGCGGUAAUACGUAGGUGGCGAGCGUUAUCCGGAUUUAUUGGGUUUAAAGGGUGCGUAGGCGGCUGAUUAAGUCAGCGGUGAAAGGUAGCAGCUU
rnacentral:rRNA from 1 species